rnacentral:rRNA from 1 species
AGACCCGAAACCCGGUGAUCUAGCCAUGGGCAGGUUGAAGGUUGGGUAACACUAACUGGAGGACCGAACCGACUAAUGUUGAAAAAUUAGCGGAUGACCUGUGGCUGGGGGUGAAAGGCCAAUCAAACCGGGAGAUAGCUGGUUCUCCCCGAAAGCUAUUUAGGUAGCGCCUCGUGAAUUCAUCUCCGGGGGUAGAGCACUGUUUCGGCUAGGGGGCCAUCCCGGCUUACCAACCCGAUGCAAACUGCGAAUACCGGAGAAUGUUAUCACGGGAGACACACGGCGGGUGCUAACGUCCGUCGUGAAGAGGGAAACAACCCAGACCGCCAGCUAAGGUCCCAAAGUCAUGGUUAAGUGGGAAACGAUGUGGGAAGGCCCAGACAGCCAGGAUGUUGGCUUAGAAGCAGCCAUCAUUUAAAGAAAGCGUAAUAGCUCACUGGUCGAGUCGGCCUGCGCGGAAGAUGUAACGGGGCUAAACCAUGCACCGAAGCUGCGGCAGCGACGCUUAUGCGUUGUUGGGUAGGGGAGCGUUCUGUAAGCCUGUGAAGGUGUGUCGUGAGGCAUGCUGGAGGUAUCAGAAGUGCGAAUGCUGACAUAAGUAACGAUAAAGCGGGUGAAAAGCCCGCUCGCCGGAAGACCAAGGGUUCCUGUCCAACGUUAAUCGGGGCAGGGUGAGUCGACCCCUAAGGCGAGGCCGAAAGGCGUAGUCGAUGGGAAACGGGUUAAUAUUCCCGUACUUGGUGUUACUGCGAAGGGGGGACGGAGAAGGCUAUGUUGGCCGGGCGACGGUUGUCCCGGUUUAAGCGUGUAGGUGUGUGUUCCAGGUAAAUCCGGUUCACUUUAACACUGAGGCGUGAUGACGAGGCACUACGGUGCUGAAGCAACAAAUGCCCUGCUUCCAGGAAAAGCCUCUAAGCAUCAGGUAACAUCAAAUCGUACCCCAAACCGACACAGGUGGUCAGGUAGAGAAUACCAAGGCGCUUGAGAGAACUCGGGUGAAGGAACUAGGCAAAAUGGUGCCGUAACUUCGGGAGAAGGCACGCUGACACGUAGGUGAAGUGAUUUACUCAUGGAGCUGAAGUCAGUCGAAGAUACCAGCUGGCUGCAACUGUUUAUUAAAAACACAGCACUGUGCAAACACGAAAGUGGACGUAUACGGUGUGACGCCUGCCCGGUGCCGGAAGGUUAAUUGAUGGGGUCAGCGCAAGCGAAGCUCCUGAUCGAAGCCCCGGUAAACGGCGGCCGUAACUAUAACGGUCCUAAGGUAGCGAAAUUCCUUGUCGGGUAAGUUCCGACCUGCACGAAUGGCGUAAUGAUGGCCAGGCUGUCUCCACCCGAGACUCAGUGAAAUUGAACUCGCUGUGAAGAUGCAGUGUACCCGCGGCAAGACGGAAAGACCCCGUGAACCUUUACUAUAGCUUGACACUGAACAUUGAGCCUUGAUGUGUAGGAUAGGUGGGAGGCUUUGAAGUGUGGACGCCAGUCUGCAUGGAGCCGACCUUGAAAUACCACCCUUUAAUGUUUGAUGUUCUAACGUGGACCCGUGAUCCGGGUUGCGGACAGUGUCUGGUGGGUAGUUUGACUGGGGCGGUCUCCUCCUAAAGAGUAACGGAGGAGCACGAAGGUUGGCUAAUCCUGGUCGGACAUCAGGAGGUUAGUGCAAUGGCAUAAGCCAGCUUGACUGCGAGCGUGACGGCGCGAGCAGGUGCGAAAGCAGGUCAUAGUGAUCCGGUGGUUCUGAAUGGAAGGGCCAUCGCUCAACGGAUAAAAGGUACUCCGGGGAUAACAGGCUGAUACCGCCCAAGAGUUCAUAUCGACGGCGGUGUUUGGCACCUCGAUGUCGGCUCAUCACAUCCUGGGGCUGAAGUAGGUCCCAAGGGUAUGGCUGUUCGCCAUUUAAAGUGGUACGCGAGCUGGGUUUAGAACGUCGUGAGACAGUUCGGUCCCUAUCUGCCGUGGGCGCUGGAGAACUGAGGGGGGCUGCUCCUAGUACGAGAGGACCGGAGUGGACGCAUCACUGGUGUUCGGGUUGUCAUGCCAAUGGCACUGCCCGGUAGCUAAAUGCGGAAGAGAUAAGUGCUGAAAGCAUCUAAGCACGAAACUUGCCCCGA